rnacentral:lncRNA from 1 species
GCCAGAUGCCCGGGAGCUGGGCGGGGCAGGCUCCUGGCCCCCGGGCAGCACAGGCUGCGGGGUGGUGGGAUCCCGUCUGCCCCGCCCAGCCCCAGCUCCGCGGCUGCCAGGCUCAGCUGUUUGCUUACUCAGAAUUAGCAACGGUCCACAGCAGGUUCAUUGGAGAAGCUGGUCCCCAGCGCCAGGCAGACCCCUCUCCCCCUGAAGCCUCAUGGAGAAGGAGGCAACCUCCCCAAGACACCCCGAUUCGUGCUCUGUUCCCGGGCCCUCCUCUCCUUCUCCACAGCCCUGCCCAGUCUGGCCCCUGGCUGGCUGUCCCCGGCUCCUCACUGGUGGCUCUGCAUCCACCCUGCCCUCUUCCAUCCACCCCACUCAGAGCAGGAAAAUAUGACAAUACAACAGUAGUGUGGAAUCCUCUCCCCACCUUCCUCUACCUGGCAAACCCCAGUUCAUCCAUCACGCCCAACGUCAACGCCCCCUUCUCCAGAAGGUUUUCCCCACCACCGCCAGGCUGGGUUCUCCUUCUGGCUCCCACUGCCCCCCGUGCUCAGUCCUCCUUAUUCCACGCACAUUGUAUUACAGGGAUGAGACAAAUACUGCAGGCGUGCCCCCCAGCCCCCACUGUCCACGGCAGACAUCACUAAACGAUCGGGCGCUCUUCCCAACGAACCUGGAUACGGCUCAGGAUCACAGCUCUCUAGGACUAAGAGUGAUUGCAAAGAGAGGAGAGGAAGGGGGCCUGGCACUGAGGAAGCGCUCACGCUCAUGGAGGCUCAUCCUACUCCCAGCCCUGAGAGACCCUCCUUGACCGCCUGGCCCUGUCCCCCACCUUCAGAGGAGACAACUGUCUUCCAGAAGAAGGCGUCCGCCCAAAGCCGCAGGGAAAGACCAGCGGUGCCACCCGGGACCGGAAGAGCCCCCUCGCUCCCCCUCCCCACAGCUGAGCCUCUCCAGCAACAAAAUGGCUGCAGCAGUGCUGGGCAUCACAUCUGAGUAACCCAUUGCACAGAGGAGCCUUCUCUUCUCCCUAUAUGGACUGGAUGUCCUGGCCUCAUUUAGCCAAGUGCUCAUCCCUGAAUCAAUCACUGGACAAGAGGAAUGGGCUUCAGCCAAUGAGAGCCCACCCCGGGGAUGGAAUCAGAAUGUCUUCCCCAAAACCUGUGGCAAUGUCCUCUCCCUAGUAACACUCGUCCCACCUACCCCCACCCGAUUUUUCCCUGCUAAGAAAACUUUGAUGUGUCCCUAUGGCACUGGUGAUCCACUGAUCUUCGGGAGGGUAGGGCCCUACCUGAGCCCUUGGGGUGACUCUUGAUUGGUGGAAAGGCCAUGUGACCUUAUUCCUCGUCACUAACAAUUGCUUCAGGAAUGGCUGUAUGACUUGGUUCUGGCUAAUGAGAUGCAAGUAAAGAAUCUGCUGGGUCGGGCUUCUAGGAGAGCUUUGCUUUUCUCAUAUAAAGAACAGACCUGGCUGGCAUGUCCCUUUGCCCCAUUUCUUCUUUAAACCUAGGAGAAGGACUUGAUACCUGGAGGUGUGGUAGCCAUCUUGGGGCCAUGAGGCAACAACUGUGAAAACAAAUGCCACCGUGCCAGAGAGGGCAGAACAGAAAGCUGAAGCCUGAAGCCUAGACAGCACUGUUGGGCAGCUGAGCAUGCCCUGGACUGCUGGCUUAAGUAAAAAAUUAGAAGUUCAUUCUUGUUUAAGCCAAAGGCAUUCCUAACUGACGCAAAGCCAAGUCAUUUUUUGCAAACUAGCACUUGUGAGAACGGGAGACACAGCCUUGGAGAUGCCGCUCGAGUUUCACUGAAUCUUAGACACUUCCUCAAACACGUUCUGCCCCAGGAAUGUCUGCGAGAACGCGGAUCAGACAAGCC